rnacentral:misc_RNA from 1 species
UUGGCGAUGGAUGUUCAACGUUGGGUAUAUAUUACACAUGCUGCCGUCUGGGGAUCCAUAGUCAUAACAUAUGCCUGCAUGGUGGUGUUGGAUUCGAUACCGGUUUUUCCUAACUACUGGACGAUCUUUCAUCUUGCCAAGUCCCCAACUUACUGGCUAACUAUAUUGCUCAUAAUAGUUGUAGCAUUGCUUCCACGUUAUCUUUUUAAAGUUGUGAAUCAAAGAUUUUGGCCCUCGGAUAUUCAGAUAGCCAG